GUCUAUGGCCAUACCACCCUGAACACACCCAGUGCUGUUUGAUCUCAGAAGCCAAGCAGGGUUGGGCCUGGUUAGUACCUGGGUGGGGAAAUAGAUG
rnacentral:rRNA from 1 species